rnacentral:rRNA from 1 species
GACGAACGCUGGCGGCGUGCUUAACACAUGCAAGUCGAACGGAAAGGCCCUGCUUAUGUGGGGUGCUCGAGUGGCGAACGGGUGAGUAACACGUGAGUAACCUGCCCUUGACUUUGGGAUAACUUCAGGAAACUGGGGCUAAUACCGGAUAGGAGCUCCUGCUGCAUGGUGGGGGUUGGAAAGUUUCGGCGGUUGGGGAUGGACUCGCGGCUUAUCAGCUUGUUGGUGGGGUAGUGGCUUACCAAGGCUUUGACGGGUAGCCGGCCUGAGAGGGUGACCGGCCACAUUGGGACUGAGAUACGGCCCAGACUCCUACGAGAGGCAGCAGUGGGGAAUAUUGCACAAUGGGCGGAAGCCUGAUGCAGCAACGCCGCGUGCGGGAUGACGGCCUUCGGGUUGUAAACCGCUUUCGCCUGUGACGAAGCGUGAGUGACGGUAAUGGGUAAAGAAGCACCGGCUAACUACGU